AUGGACAUCCGGAUGAACGCUACCCAGCGCAGCAGGCUUCAGAUCAAAGCUCCUACGGUCCUCAAAGCACACAAUGUCGAUGUUGCUCGACCAUGCCAGGUCCACAGCGACCAAGAAGAAGACUACACGGCCGCGGACAUCACCCUGGACAACGCUAUCGAGCGCCAAAAGCUUCGGAUCAGGGCUCGCCGCGCUUCCGGCGGCGCAGAUCACCAGGCUCCUCUACCAGUACAGAAUCCAGCAUCACUUCCUCCAGCUGCGCCUGCGCAUCGCGCAGGGACAAAGAGGCAAGCAACCUGGCCACCUCCUGCUGUCUCCGGCGUUCGACAGCUGCCGCAGAACCAGUUCCAGGCGCUGGCACCGGCGAGGCAGCAAUACCAGGAGCAGCAACCGCAGAUGCAGUACGUGGCAGCGCCGGCGCAGGCACAGCAACCGCGGGCGCCGCCAGCGCAGGCGCUCCCACUCCAGAAGCAGAGGCCACUGCCGCACGCUACGCCAACGGCCGCCAGAACGCCGCCUCCGCAGGUGACUACCAGCUCCAAGCCGCCGCUUCACCCAAGGUCCCCAGCCAACCCGGCGGCAGGCAACACGACCUCCAUCGUUUGCCGCGUCUGCGGUGUGCGGUGCAUGACGGCGUUCAACCUCAGGCAGCACGAGGAGGGGAGGAAGCACCGGAACAAGGUGGCCAACGCCGCCGGUGAGGUAAACGUGCGGUGCGAGAUGUGCGACGUGGUCCUCUCAGGCAAGCUCAACGUCCAGGAGCACUACGCCGGCAAGCACCACCUCCAUCGGGUCUUCGUCUCCGGUGCCAGUGGCACCGCCGGUGAGAUAAACGUGCGUUGCGAGAUCUGCGACGUGCUCAUCUCAGGUGAGCUCAACGUCCAGGAGCACUACGCCGGCAAGCACCAUCUCCGUCGGGUCUUCCUCUCCGGUGCCAGUGGCACCUCCGGCAACCCAGCAACCUGA
rnacentral:rRNA from 1 species